ACUGGUAUGAAAAGUGUUUGGCUGCUUAAAAAAAGAAAGAUAUGAAAGUGAUCAAACUUCAAGAUACAUUCCGAACCUCUGAAGCCGCCCCCAUAGAAAACGUACUAUAGGACAAGUGCAAGAUGGCUGCGUUGAGUUAACUGGAGUUCCAAAACAGCAGGCCUACCUUCGCUCCGCAAGCACAAGGCAUGCGCAAUGGAA